rfam:Ruminococcus sp. CAG:177 genomic scaffold, scf104
UCAAAUAGCCAGGGGUGCCGUGCUUAUUUUUCGAACGGCUGAGAUGAUACCCUCUGACCUGAUCCGGAUAAUGCCGGCGUAGGAAGGAUAAUAGACAGCCUC